GUGGAAGUGGAGGCGCUGCUGUGGGUGACAAGCCUGGAGGGGACUUUGGCGGAAGGACAGAGGAAACGCGGCCUCGGCCUUUCUGGCCUUUUCUGGCCCCAUUGCUCAUCCACACGCCUCCUCCUCCGACGCGCUUGUCAGGCAGCCGCUGGGGAGGACGCGGCGGGAGCCUCAAAUGCCACCUACUCCCGGCCUCUCUCCCAGUUGAUGCUUCUAUUUUAGGCACCACGUUAUUUCCUGCUGUGAUUUUUUCAGCCUUCUAAUUCGGGCUCUGAGGUUUGUUCAACCAUGGCACAGCCUGUUCUGACUCUGGAACAUUUAAGAGAUGAGCCAAAAAAUCACAGAAAAAUGGUUUGCUCUGGG